GCCGAUGUGAUGGAAUUGGCAGACUUGCUUGACUCAAAAUCAAGUGUCUUCGGGCGUGUCGGUUCGAAUCCGACCAUCGGCACCA
rnacentral:tRNA from 1 species